CAUGAGCUCAUAUUAGAGUUUCAUGGAUCUUUUUCAAAGCUUUGGCGUUUUGCAUCAUUUUUUUAGUUCGAAGAUUGAUCAGCAUGGAAUAGAUAUGAUGCAGAUUGGUGCAACAAUUUGUGUGAUAUUUUGCAGCUUUGAAAUUUCAUUUGUAGCCUGAAUGUGUUAAUACAAAAGUGUGACUCUGGUGAAAAUGCAUUCUUCGGAGAAGUGGUGGGUGCAUAUACAUUUUGUGCUUUACAUCAAAUUUCUCAGAGGUUGAUAACACGGGCAGUCUGUCAGCUGGUUGGUAUCAGUUUGUAUGUGCUAAGUUGUGCUGGAUUGAUUUCAUGAGAAUAUAGUGAGAUUGACCUACAUUGUGUCUUUUCGGAUGUUUUUACAAGUUUGUUGUUGAUGCCAUAUCAUUGGUUUUUCCAUGUUGCAAAAGGUAGCUCGGAUGCUCAACACUAGCUGUGGUCUUUGUUGUGUCCUCUAGCUGCAAUUUGACUCUAUUCUUGUGUUUCUUGGUGCAGCAACUUAUCACAUGAUUGUGUAUCUAUUGUCCUAAUCUUCUGAAUAUAUUGUGCUAGCAGUUUGUGCCCCGCUGCAUACUGUCUAUUUCUGAUGUCUUGGUCAAUCAGCGCUAGCUUGUGAGGAAAUUCAUGUCAUUUAGGUCAUGCUGCAGUUUAGGCAUAGCUAUACAAAUAUGGGUACCAUCCAUGACUGCAGCUCUGUUUUGGUGAUAUUUUGUUUUGAUCACUUGUACCAAAAUCUACUCACAAAGGAAAAUCACGUGUCACUUACUUUCUCGCUAGUGUUAUCUAAAUUCAGUAUAAACUGUUCUCGGAGCGACAAGGAUUUGUGUGAUUCAUGGCAUAUACUAGAGAGGACAACCGAGGAUAUUUGACAUUUGUUGUAUACAAUAUAAGGUUAACAUAUUCAAGGAAUGAGCACCGUUUGGGAAAAUAUCAAUGGCCUCCAUUCAGUUAUGCACAGGACCAAUAUGUGAUGAACUCUGCAAAUAGCGUAAGUACAAGUUGAUUUCUAUGUUUUGUUCUCUUUCAUCUGUAGGUGUCUUGCAACAACAUUAUCUAUGAUAAAUCUAGCCAGCUGUACUACAAUUCCCACACCACCAAUUUUUUAAGUUUACGCAACAAAUUGCUUCACAUCCAAUCCACUGAGCCGUAACGGCUGAACGACGCUCCUCAUCCAAUCCGCUCGCGGUCUCGCUGGAAAGGAGGAGGCCGAGCUGCAUACGGGUUGCCUCCUCGCUCUCCUCUUCCCCAAUCUCCCGUGCCUCUCCUCCUCUAGCUCUUUGGCCCCUUCUCCACUGCCACCCAUCUUCCAGUUUUCUCCAUGACUGGAACAGGGAGAGGCAGAGGAAAGCAAAGCAGCAUGGAUGCGGAGGCAGAGCUCGACGUGGAGGAGCAACUCCCCUUCUUCAUCUGGGAUCUACGGGUUCAUAUUCUCUUCCCUAGAAGAGUCUGGACACAAGAAAGAUAAAAGGUAUAAAUGGAAGCAAAUUAUGAAUUUGGAAAACACUUUGUAGGGAGAAUUCUAAUGUGGAUUAUUGUAUAAAAGUUAAAAAUUAUCAUGGUUUAUAAGCAGCACAAAAAUUCCACAAAUUUCCAUUUGUUCUUUCUUUUACAUAUUGAAUACCAGUCUGACCUCUUUUGCAGCUUAAUUACCAGUUAUCCUUCACUGAUGUUUUUUGAGCCAACGAAAAUAGAAACAAAUUACUUAUGAUUGGUUGGUUAUGCCUUCAUCUGACCAGUUAUUGCCCUGAUAUGUUUCAGCGCAAUCACUUUAUUCCCAAGUGUAUCGUGGAUUGUGGGGAUGACCUUUGGAUAUGGUUAUGGGUGGGGAUGGCCUUUGGACAUGGUUAUGGCUUUCUAAUAAUUUUGUGCAUAUCUCUGCUAGCGGGGCCAGUUAGGUUUGGGCCUUAUUCAUUUCUAGCUGGACGUUUCAAAUCAUGUUAAUAAAUCCAGUUUAUAGGAGGUUUAGAAGUUGUCAACGGCCAGUCAUUUGCAGCAAGUUGGGUUAGGCUUUAGGUUCUGGAUUUUAAUCUUUCAUUGGUUCUAAUUCCUUAUGUCGUGAAUCAUAUGUACUAUUGAUUUUAUCAGCGUGGGUGGCUUGCGGUCCAUGUACAGGGGCUCGGUUGAUGCGAUCACCGCCGCGCCAGGCACCGGCAUCAAGGAUCUCAAAUAGGAAGGCUUCCAGGGAGCAGGUAUUUUCUGGCCACUACGUUUAGAUAUUUGAGAAUAGGCGUAAAUUGAGUGAACCUCUUGUUGCUAAGAACAUGUACUCUCUCUGGAUUUCUGAUGCUAUUGUUGCUAACAAUCAUCCAUCUGUUUUUAUCUUACGUUUAACUAUCACAGUUGGGUAGAACGGUAUGCACUAUUCAUGUAUGUAUUUGCAUAUUGAUCUAGCUCUGAGGGCUGAUGCUAUGGACUUGGUUUAUUUUCAGUUGUAUCCACGGCUGUUUCCUUCCAGCCAAAGGACACUAGGAAGUUUCGGUUUAUUUUCAGAUGUACCCGCAGCUGUUUCCUAAAUCUCUUGGAAUUCAUACACCGUUCAGCCUUUACACAUCAGGUUCAUAUCAGCCUUUGCGGACACAUUCAACCUUGGAGGUGAUUUAAAUUCGACUGGAACAACAUAUGUCGAGUUUCUCAUCAACAUAUUUCCUAAAGAGCAAAAUCGAAUCGCUAUUGAGUUUGUUUUGUCAACUGAUCUGCUCACUAUUUGACUACAGAAUUUACUACCACCUGACGAGAUCUAACCUUUGUUGGAACUGCUACUUAUGAUCUGUAUGACUUCAUUGUGGCCUCCCAUGUCGUGAUAGAGCUUAGAUGAAUAACUUUUCAUGUUUCGACAAUCAGAAAUGUCGAUCACAUGCUCCAGCCUUGCUAUUUUGUUACUGAGCUACACCGUGAUACAUCAGAAUCAUGGACAUGGUGAUAUCCAGGUGUCUCUGCUAGACAGAUAUACCUACAAGCAUUCUGAGAUGUAUGAUGAUAAAAGUAAAACACAAAUUCAUAGAUUUGGUGAUUUCAUCUAACCAAAUAGCAUUGGAUAUGUAUUUUUGUGCUCAUCGGAGUUGAUGUCAACCCUGCUAAAAAAGGACAUGCCAUACAAGCCUUUACAUCACAUGCCUGAUUUUGAAAACGGCCUCCUUGAUGGAGAUAUUCCUCGGUGAGGAGAAUGCACUUCUUCUGGUCUCCUUCAUGGAUUUUUAAUGUUUCAUUGGUUCUAAUUUCU